GACGAACGCUGGCGGCGUGCCUAACACAUGCAAGUCGAACGAAGCUUGACGAAUGAUUUCUUCGGAAUGAAAUCUGAUAUGACUGAGUGGCGGACGGGUGAGUAACGCGUGAGCAACCUGCCCUUCGGAACGGGAUAGUGUCUGGAAACGGACAGUAAUACCGUAUAACGUAUUUUUACCGCAUGAUAGAAAUACCAAAACUGAGGUGCCGAAGGAUGGGCUCUCGUCUGAUUAGAUAGUUGGUGGGGUAACGGCCUUCCAAGUCGACGAUCAGUAGCCGGACUGAGAGGUUGAACAGCCACAUUGGGACUGAGACACGGCCCAGACUCCUACGGGAGGCAGCAGUGGGGAAUAUUGCACAAUGGGGGAAACCCUGAUGCAGCAACGACGCGUGAAGGAAGACGGUUUUCUGAUUGUAAACUUCUGUUCUUAGUGAAGAAUAAUGACGGUAGCUAAGGAGCAAGCCACGGCUAACUACGUGCCAGCCGCCGCGGUAA
rnacentral:rRNA from 1 species